rnacentral:misc_RNA from 1 species
CAACCCUCAAGCUCUGCUUGGUCUUGGGCCGCGCCGGCAACGGCGGGCCUCAAAAACAGUGGCGGCGCCAUCUGGUCCCUCAGCGUAGUAAUUCUUCUCGCUGCUGGGCCCCGGUGGCCGCUUGCCAGCAACCCCAAAUUUUUUUAU